rnacentral:rRNA from 1 species
GAUGAACGCUGGCGGCGUGCCUAAUACAUGCAAGUCGAGCGAACAGACGAGGAGCUUGCUCCUUCGACGUUAGCGGCGGACGGGUAAGUAACACGUAGGUAACCUACCUAUAAGACUGGGAUAACUUCGGGAAACCGGAGCUAAUACCGGAUAAUAUUUCGAACCGCAUGGUUCGAUAGUGAAAGAUGGCUUUGCUAUCACUUAUAGAUGGACCUGCGCCGUAUUAGCUAGUUGGUAAGGUAACGGCUUACCAGGGCAACGAUACGUAGCCGACCUGAGAGGGUGAUCGGCCACACUGGAACUGAGACACGGUCCAGACUCCUACGGGAGGCAGCAGUAGGGAAUCUUCCGCAAUGGGCGAAAGCCUGACGGAGCAACGCCGCGUGAGUGAUGAAGGUCUUCGGAUCGUAAAACUCUGUUAUUAGGGAAGAACAAACGUGUAAGUAACGGUGCACGUCUUGACGGUACCUAAUCAGAAAGCCACGGCUAACUACGU